AGUGAACGCUGGCGGUAGGCCUAACACAUGCAAGUCGAACGGCAGCACAGUAAGAGCUUGCUCUUACGGGUGGCGAGUGGCGGACGGGUGAGGAAUACAUCGGAAUCUACUUUUUCGUGGGGGAUAACGUAGGGAAACUUACGCUAAUACCGCAUACGACCUACGGGUGAAAGCAGGGGAUCUUCGGACCUUGCGCGAUUGAAUGAGCCGAUGUCGGAUUAGCUAGUUGGCGGGGUAAAGGCCCACCAAGGCGACGAUCCGUAGCUGGUCUGAGAGGAUGAUCGGCCACACUGGAACUGAGGCACGGUCCAGACUCCUACGGGAGGCAGCAGUGGGGAAUAUUGGACAAUGGGCGCAAGCCUGAUCCAGCCAUACCGCGUGGGUGAAGAAGGCCUUCGGGUUGUAAAGCCCUUUUGUUGGGAAAGAAAAGCAGCAGGUUAAUACCCCGCUGUUCUGACGGUACCCAGAGAAUAAGCACCGGCUAACUUCGUG
rnacentral:rRNA from 1 species